CACGUAGGUGGCAAGCGUUGUCCGGAAUUAUUGGGCGUAAAGCGCGCGCAGGCGGUCCUUUAAGUCUGAUGUGAAAGCCCACGGCUCAACCGUGGAGGGUCAUUGGAAACUGAGGGACUUGAGUGCGGCAGAGGAGACUGGAAUUCCUGGUGUAGCAGUGAAAUGCGUAGAUAUCAGGAGGAAUACCGAUGGCGAAGGCAGGUCUCUGGGCUGACACUGACGCUCAUGCACGAAAGCGUGGGGAGCAAACAGG
rnacentral:rRNA from 1 species